GCAUAGGAAUCUGCCCGGUAGUGGGGGAUAACCUGGGGAAACUCAGGCUAAUACCGCAUACGUCCUACGGGAGAAAGCAGGGGCUCUUCGGACCUUGCGCUAUCGGAUGAGCCUAUGUCGGAUUAGCUGGUUGGUGAGGUAAUGGCUCACCAAGGCGACGAUCCGUAGCUGGUCUGAGAGGAUGAUCAGCCACAUCGGGACUGAGACACGGCCCGAACUCCUACGGGAGGCAGCAGUGGGGAAUAUUGGACAAUGGGGGCAACCCUGAUCCAGCCAUGCCGCGUGUGUGAAGAAGGCCUUCGGGUUGUAAAGCACUUUCAGUGGGGAAGAAGGCCUUGGGGCUAAUACCCUCGAGGAAGGACAUCACCCACAGAAGAAGCACCGGCUAACUCCGUGCCAGCAGCCGCGGUAAUACGGAGGGUGCGAGCGUUAAUCGGAAUUACUGGGCGUAAAGCGCGCGUAGGUGGCUUGAUAAGCCGGUUGUGAAAGCCCCGGGCUCAACCUGGGAACGGCAUCCGGAACUGUCAGGCUAGAGUGCAGGAGAGGAAGGUAGAAUUCCCGGUGUAGCGGUGAAAUGCGUAGAGAUCGGGAGGAAUACCAGUGGCGAAGGCGGCCUUCUGGACUGACACUGACACUGAGGUGCGAAAGCGUGGGUAGCAAACAGGAUUAGAUACCCUGGUAGUCCACGCCGUAAACGAUGUCGACUAGCCGUUGGGUCCCUUGAGGACUUUGUGGCGCAGUUAACGCGAUAAGUCGACCGCCUGGGGAGUACGGCCGCAAGGUUAAAACUCAAAUGAAUUGACGGGGGCCCGCACAAGCGGUGGAGCAUGUGGUUUAAUUCGAUGCAACGCGAAGAACCUUACCUACCCUUGACAUCGUGCGAACUUGGUAGAGAUACCUUGGUGCCUUCGGGAGCGCACAGACAGGUGCUGCAUGGCUGUCGUCAGCUCGUGUUGUGAAAUGUUGGGUUAAGUCCCGUAACGAGCGCAACCCUUGUCCCUAUUUGCCAGCGAUUCGGUCGGGAACUCUAGGGAGACUGCCGGUGACAAACCGGAGGAAGGUGGGGACGACGUCAAGUCAUCAUGGCCCUUACGGGUAGGGCUACACACGUGCUACAAUGGCCGGUACAAAGGGUUGCGAAGCCGCGAGGUGGAGCCAAUCCCGAAAAGCCGGUCUCAGUCCGGAUCGGAGUCUGCAACUCGACUCCGUGAAGUCGGAAU
rnacentral:rRNA from 1 species